rnacentral:SRP_RNA from 1 species
GCUGGGUGUGGUGGCGCAUGCCUGUAGUCCCAGCUACUCAGGAGGCUGAGGUAGGAGGAUUGCUUGAGCUCAGGAGGUCAAGGCUGCAGUGAGCCAUGAUAGUGCCACUGCACUCCAGCCUGGGUGACAGAGUGAGACCUUGUCUCAC